rnacentral:piRNA from 1 species
UCAUAGGCUGCAUUUCCUAUCAGUAUGAGGU